UGGAAAAACACUCAUAAUAUGAGUGUUUUUUAAUAACACAAAAGAUUGUUUUAUUGGUUGUGCACUUAUUGUUUUUAUCGAGAAACCAAGAUUCAUUUAAGUCUUUUACAAAAAGGGCAUACGAAAAGAGACGCAGUAGACGUGUCCAAAAAGAAUAUUAAAAAAUACUAGAAUUUUCAUCAGUACAUAUGGAAAAAAAAUCGAAUGUUGGUACUUCUAAAAGAAAUGAUUUCUUAUCUUGCGAAAAUCUAAAAGAAUAUUUUGACCAUCAUGAGUCAGCGAUUUUGUACAAUAAAUACUCUUAUGACCAAAAGCCUAAUGAGUAUAAGCAUAACCCAACUUUAAAGGAAAGUUUUUCUGCAUGUUUUUCUAACCAAGUAAUUAUGCACUAAACAAGUGGAUUGACAAAGAAUACCAACAAAUUUAUUGUCCCAAAAAAAAAUUAUAAUCAUGCACUGAAAAACAACCUUUUGUCAACAAAAGAAUGGCACAAAUUUCCAUUGAUAAAGUGUAAGAUAACAGAUAAUUCAUUUUCAUGUUGUGAAGAAUACAACUUUCUACAUCAGAUGAGAUAUAUGUUAAAGAAAGCAUUAAAAAUAAGAAUAAUAAAUCAUACCGCUCUUCAUUGCCAGAACCUCCGCCACCUAUUAUGAAUAAGCCCAAUGCUAAAAGUAUAACAUAAAUAUCAUAAUUUUUUCUUAAUGGUUUAUAAACUGAAAUAGAUUCUUGUUUAAUUUGAUCUGAAUAAUAUCUAUCUAGCUAUUAGUCUUUUUUAUCUAUUACUAAGAUUUUUCUUUUAUUUUAACUAUUUGGGUGUCCUAUUAUAUGUAAUGUUGUUAAGUUGGUUACAUAUAUUUAUAUCAUUGACAGCAUUUUAUUGUAUUAAAUAAUCCUUUAAUCAACUUGAUAUGAAAAUUGAAAACUGAUUGAAAGCAUGCUGAAGUUGUUUGAAUUCAGAAAUUGAAAGAGUACAAAAUUGGUUGAAAGAUUAAAUUAAGUAACAGAGAUGCAAAAUGUUAUUCUCAAGGAGCUUGCAGAAAUAAAAGUUCUUUUAAAAGAAGUUAUAGAAAUUAAGUUUCAGGCUACUGGGGUGAAGUUGCUAGAAUCGGUGGACGAAGUGGUUACACUGGAUAAUAAACUAAAAGAUAAAACCGAGUAUACUAAUUUGCUUGAUAGUUUAAAAAAGAUUGGUGGUGAAAAGCCAAGAGAACAUGUUUUUUUGAUCAUGUAAAGGUUAUUUUCGAAUCAGUUACAGUCCAAAUUAAAUCGAAAAGAAAAUGGGGAAAAGAUAAGCUUAGAAAAUCUAGUAAAUAUAUGGAGUAUUUACGAGAUAUCGGCGACGUAGAAGAAAAUAUUGACGGCAAUGCAGAAAUAUAGUUUCUUAUGUAUAUUUUUGUGAAAUAAAAAUUAAGUAAUGUUAGUUAAAA